CCCAUCCACACCGUCCACCUUCAUCCCAUCACACCUGGCCCUCCAAAACGUACGGCUGAGAUCUCAUCAAUCCCCGUCCAUCGCAUUCUCUUUGCCACCCUCUCGCUUCGUUCCCUCCGCCCUCUCACUCUCUCCUCAACACCACCUCUCUCUCCUUCGAGGCUUCGAUCUCGCCUCCUCACCUCCUCCCCGAAUCCAUGGCGUCGAUCUCCGUCCCCUGCCCCAAGAGCUCCGCCGCCUCCUCCCGCCGGAAUCCGCCGCCGCGGCCGAGCUCGACGGUGCCCGUAUCGAAACUCGCCUCCUCUCCGAUCGCGGGACAUGGAUCGCUUUCUCUCUCGCAGCUGCCUGGUCGGAGACAACUCCCUGUUCUUAAGGCCCAGGUUCAGGAGGUUUCUGCAGAGAGUUCAACUCACUCUUCGCCAAAGGCAUCGGCCGAGGAGGAGACUCUGUCAUCCAGCACUAAGGGUUCUGAUGUGCCUGAUGAAUCUGCCAUAUCCGCACUUAUGGCCGAAGCUUCACGUCUUGUUAUGCUUGUUGAUUCAAAGGAUCUUACAGAGCUGAAGCUAAAGCAUAAUGAUUGCGAGCUUAUCAUACGAAAGAAAGAAGCUUUCUCUCAGUCAUUACCUACUGCUCCGACCAUGAUUAUGCAGCAUCCUCAAGCUGCAUUUCCUCCACCACUCAUGCCCCAACCGGCUCCUGCUGUGCAGGCAAGUGCUUCUACUGCUGCUCCAGCUCCUUCGCCAACACCAGCCCUUCCUCCUGCUACAAAAGGGUCAAGUAAGUCUUCGCUUCCUCCUCUCAAAUGUCCCAUGGCAGGGACAUUUUACCGAAGUGCAGCUCCCGGAGAGCCUCCAUUUGUGAAGGUUGGAGAUAAAGUCCAGAAGGGACAGGUGGUAUGCAUCAUCGAGGCCAUGAAGUUGAUGAAUGAGAUUGAGUCUGAGAAAGAGUACGGAUGCUGCAAUUCUUGUUCUAGAUUGGAGUAAAUAAUAGAACCCUUUCUUCGAUGCUGGCUGAUCAAUCGGGCACUAUUGUGGAAAUACUAGCCGAAGACGGGAAACCAGUUAGUGUGGACACGCCUUUAAUGAUAAUUCAGCCGUAAAAGCUGCAGAUGGGUUUCUGAUGCAAGUCAGAAAAACGCUAUAUAGGAUGUCUUGUUAGCCUAUUAAAUUUCCAUAUGUGUACUUAUCAACUCUCUUCUUUGGGUGGCAAGUAAGGAAUUAACAUUCUUAAAUUCUCAAAAAAUAAGUUAUGCGGUGAGUAAAGAAGCUUCAAUGUGAGAUUGUGCAAAUCUGUGGAGAUAUGUUGCUGUCGCGUAUUUUUUUAGAUGUAACAGUUCUAUGCAUGUCUAACUCCCAGAAAUAAAUGCUUGUUCUGUUCCA